rnacentral:tRNA from 1 species
UGCUAGAAUGGCAGAUAGAUGCGUAAGAUUUAGGUUCUUAGUAGGAAAGUUGAAUUGUUUCUUUUAGUAG